AUACGUUCCCGGGCCUUGUACACACCGCCCGUCACACCAUGAGAGUUGGCAAUACCCAAAGUUCGUGAGCUAACGCGCAAGCGAGGCAGCGACCUAAGGUAGGGUCAGCGAUUGGGGUGAAGUCGUAACAAGGUAGCCGUAGGAGAACCUGCGGCUGGAUCACCUCCUUUCUAUGGA
rnacentral:rRNA from 1 species